AGCUAGACACUCAGCCGCUGCCUCCUGACUCUAGCUCCUUCUCCAAUAUGCCAAAAGCGAUGUGCCACUCAUGUCAAACCAGCUACCCACUUCAACUCUUAGCACUGCAUGUUGAAACAUGUCAGCCUUCAGAUACUAAUGCACAGGAGGCGUGUACAGUCCCGUUGCAUGGAUGAGUCUGGGAGAUCACAUUACACGUAGCUUUGUCCUAUAAAACUACGUAAUGACUGAAACGUGUUUUGAAAAUGUUUUUAUCAGUCAGGAGCUUCAUGUUCAAUGUUGUGGAUGUCACUACACUUGCUUGUGUUUCUGUAGGUAAUUUAUUAAGUUUGUACUUGCUAUUCUCCUUUAUCAGACUUGUAAUAAAGACAUAGAGGACGCACCACAUCCCAUACCACAUACAGAAGACGAUCAACUUAACUCACAUCUAAAGGAUGUGGAGGAAGAUGUCAUUAUUUUGUCCUCAACUGCAAAGAUUGUGUGCCCUGUCUGCGGUGAGACAUUUCCUCAGAAUGAGGUGGAGGCACAUGCAAGUGUUGUGAGAGGUAAUGCAGUCUUUUAAUAUGGCUUCCAACGUAUGUUUGAGAAUUUCCCUACAAGCCUUUUGCUUUCCACCUAUUAAUUUAUAUUUUGAUAGACAGCAUUUUAUGCUUUGUUAGUGAUUGUGCCAUGUAUGUUAUACCAUAACAUUUUUAAUUGUUUAAGUCUUACAGA